CUACCAUGGCUUUAACGGGUAACGGAGAAUUAGGGUUCGAUUCCGGAGAGGGAGCCUGAGAAACGGCUACCACAUCUAAGGAAGGCAGCAGGCGCGUAAAUUACCCAAUCCUGACUCAGGGAGGUAGUGACAAGAACUAACGGAGCUUUGCCUCACGGCACUGUGAUCGUAAUCGCGAUUAAUUUACACCCCUUAACAAAUAUUGAUUGGAGGGCAAGUCUGGUGCCAGCAGCCGCGGUAAUUCCAGCUCCAAUAGCGUAUAUUAAAGUUGUUGCAGUUAAAAGCUCGUAGUUGGAUUUCUGAGGGCGCCUCAUCUGCUCCCGAGUGGAGCCAGACGUGGCGCGCUCAUCGUUCUGUCAGCACGGCACUAACCUUCACGGGUUGGGGCCGCGCGCAGAUGUUUUACCUUGAGGAAAUUAGAGUGUUUCAGGCAGGCCUAGCCGGAAUACGCUAGCAUGGAAUAAUGGCGAGGACUUGGGCCUCAUUCGUAGGUUUGGGGGCCAGAGUAAUGGUUAAUAGGGACAGUUGGGGGCAUUAGUAUUUAAUUGUCAGAGGUGAAAUUCUUGGAUUUUUUAAAGACUAACCUGUGCGAAAGCAUUUGCCAAGGAUGUUUUCAUUAAUCAA
rnacentral:rRNA from 1 species